rnacentral:RNase_P_RNA from 2 species
CCAGGGGGCCGGGCAGCCGCGUCAUCGCAUUUUGCGAUGCCGAGGAAAGUCCGGGCUCCACGAAACAAGGGUGGCGGGUAACGCCCGCCGGGGGCAACCCCAGGGAAAGUGCCACAGAGAACAGACCGCUAACCGGAGCAAUCCGGCAGCAAGGGUGAAACGGUGCGGCAAAAGCGCACCGCGCGCGCCGGUAACGGCCGCGGCACGGCAAACCCCACCCGGAGCAAGACCGAAUAGGGGCAUCGCGCCGGAUUUCCGGCAGGCGCGUUUCACGCCAAGGAUCGCAAGAUCCUGCGCUGCCCGGGUUGGUUGCUGGAGCGCACGCAGCAAUGCGUCGCCGAGAGGAAUGGCUGCCCGUGCCGAUACGGUCCGUGUUCAAGCGGAUACCGUCGGUGCGACAGAACCCGGCUUACAGGCCCCCUGGCAUC